rnacentral:rRNA from 1 species
ACUCAAAGGAAUUGACGGGGGCCCGCACAAGCAGCGGAGCGUGUGGUUUAAUUCGAUGCAACGCGCAGAACCUUACCCAGGCUUGACAUGGCGGCAGUAGAACCCGGAAACGGGAACGACCUGUUGAGUCAGGAACCGUCACAGAUGCUGCAUGGCUGUCGUCAGCUCGUGCCGUGAGGUGUUGGGUUAAGUCCCGCAACGAGCGCAACCCUCGUCGCCAGUUACCUUUUCUGGCGAGACCGCCGGGAUCAACCCGGAGGAAGGUGGGGAUGACGUCAAGUCAGCACGGCUCUUACGUCUGGGGCUACACACACGCUACAAUGGGCGGUACAAUGGGCAGCGAAGGGGCGACCCGGAGCGAAUCCCAGCAAAGCCGUCCUCAGUUGGGAUCGGAGGCUGCAACUCGCCUCCGUGAACGCGGAGUUGCUAGUAACCGCAGGUCAGCACACUGCGGUGAAUACGUUCCCGGGCCUUGCACACACCGCCCGU